AGGGUUUGAUCCUGGCUCAGGAUGAACGCUGGCGGCGUGCCUAACACAUGCAAGUCGAACGGAGUUACUUUGGUGAAGUUUUCGGAUGGAUCUGAUUUAACUUAGUGGCGGACGGGUGAGUAAUGCGUGAGCAACCUGCCCUUCAGAGGGGGACAACAGUUGGAAACGACUGCUAAUACCGCAUAAGCCCACGAUCCGGCAUCGGAUUGAGGGAAAAGGAUUUAUUCGCUUCAGGAUGGACUCGCGUCCAAUUAGCUAGUUGGUGAGGUAACGGCCCACCAAGGCGACGAUUGGUAGCCGGACUGAGAGGUUGAACGGCCACAUUGGGACUGAGACACGGCCCAG
rnacentral:rRNA from 1 species